rnacentral:rRNA from 1 species
GACGAACGCUGGCGGCGUGCCUAAUACAUGCAAGUCGAACGCUUCUUUCCUCCCGAGUGCUUGCACUCAAUUGGAAAGAGGAGGGGCGGACGGGUGAGUAACACGUGGGUAACCUACCUAACAGAGGGGGAUAACACUUGGAAACAGGUGCUAAUACCGCAUAACAGUUUAUGCCGACAGGCAUAAGAGUGAUCGGAGCUUUCGGACAUCGCUGAUGGAUGGACCCGCGGUGCAUCAGCUCGAUGGUGAGCUAACGGCUCACCAAGGCCACGAUGCCUAGCCGCCCUGAGAUGGGGCUCGGCCACACUGCGACUCAGACACGCUCCAGCCUCCUACGGGACGACGCACUAGGGCAUCUUCGGCAAUCGGCGAAAGUCUGACCGCGCAACGCCGCGUCAGUGAGGAAGGCUUUCGGAUCCUAAAACUCUGUUGUUAGUGAAGAACGAGGGCCUUAGUAACUGAACGCCCCGUCACGGUAUCUAACCAGAAAGCCACGGCUUACUACGUG